AAACUUACCUAACGCUUCACAUCGGUGAUCAAGCAGGCCGGUGUGGUUUGAAUGAGCAGCCAUUGCACUCGGGUGAUGUGAAGUCAUUCGUAAGUCCUCGCGAUUUUACGAGCGUAAAAUUUCUGACAAAGCUGUUUCUAUUCCAGUGCAGCUGC